rnacentral:misc_RNA from 1 species
GCAGUGGACUUGGACUGUGCCGUAGUUGGCUCGUCUUAAAAUGCAUUAGCUGUGCUGUGCGAUUUCGGCCGCCUGGUGUGAUAACUAUCUACGCCAAACUGUGUCGUCAUCUGUCGGUGUGGCUCAUAAUCGUCGACUUUGCUCGACACUACACUUAACGCUCUGGCCUCAAAUCAGGUAGGACUACCCGCUGAACUUAA